rnacentral:rRNA from 1 species
CCUACGGGUGGCAGCAGUGAGGAAUAUUGGUCAAUGGGCGCGAGCCUGAACCAGCCAAGUAGCGUGAAGGAUGACUGCCCUACGGGUUGUAAACUUCUUUUAUAAAGGAAUAAAGUGAGGCACGUGUGCCUUUUUGUAUGUACUUUAUGAAUUAGGAUCGGCUUACUCCGUGCCAGCAGCCGCGGUAAUACGGUGGAUCCGAGGGUUAUCCGGAUUUGUUGGGUUUAAAGGGAGUGUAUAUGGGUUGUUAAGUCAGUUGUGAAAGUUUGGGGCUCAACCGUAAAAUUGCAAUUGAUACUGGCAGCCUUGAGUACAAUUGAGGUAGGCGGAAUUCGUGGUGUAGCGGUGAAAUGCUUAGAUAUCACGAAGAACUCCGAUUGCGAAGGCAGCCUACUAAGCUGCCACUGACAUUGAUGCUCGAAAGUGUGGGUAUCAAACAGGAUUAGAUACCCGAGUAGUC